GAGCGGCUGGUCAAUGGCGUUAGACUUCAUCGUUUCAACCAAUGACAAUAGCGAGUUAAACCAUUGGUUCAAGCCUUGAUCGCUCUC
rnacentral:tRNA from 1 species